rnacentral:rRNA from 1 species
AUGUUAUUCCUGAAGAAGAAUCUACACAUUGGCACUACACUGCCUCAAGGAACCAUGUUUGCACGAGAUGGUGCACCAAAGUCUAUUCAUUUUUCCUCUACUCCGUUGGAGUCAAAGUACUUGACAACCAUCCUUUCAUACUUCAAAUUACCACACGGCUCGAUGAAGGCAAAUCAGGUAGCUGACACCCUUCAUUCAUGUGGGAAACCGGCUGACAAGAAGGAACCUCACAUGUGUUUCUCAUCCCGCGAAGCAAUGGCAAGGUUCGCCACCCGAGAAUUGGGAGUCAGCAGCGCACGAGCAGCCAUUACAAGGAUUCAUGGGCAUGAGAACCCUAGCUCCAUGUAUGUCGUGGAACAGAUCACCCAACUCAACAGUAACGUGGUGCCAUGCCACCCUAUGGAUUUUCCGUAUGAGGUUUUUUAUUGCCAUCGGCCAAAACAAGUGCAAUCUUUGAGGGUGCAACUCAAGGAUUUGAAAGAUGGCAUGUCGCGUGUGACGGCAAUAGCCAUGUGUCACAUGAACACAUCUGACUGGGACACACAGUACUUCGAGCUAUUAGACGGAGAGCAUGGUGAACCUAUUUGCCACUACAUGUCUACCGAUUACAUCAUGUUCUAUUAG